GGCACAUAUUCAUUCUCCAGGCACUCUGCCAAACUCUUCCAAGCACCCUACCUGCCUACUAUCUUAAGUUUCCCGAAUAAGUGAGAAAACACAAUCCAGUUGCAGCUGCAGGGCUGCAUGUUUCCUCCCUGCACUCCGAGACUGAACUCUAAAACACGGACAAGAAAACUUUGACGCAUGGGCGAAAACUCAUGGGGUGUUUAUACAGUGCAACAUGCUGAUCCAUUCCACAUCUGACGAACUACCACGAGCAACACAUCAGAGUCGUGCCUCAUCUUUCAUAGAGGAAAAGGUCAACAUUCAGUGAGAGGAAAUCAUCCUGCACAGCUGGACAACCACAGUGCUGGAUCAUCUCCGUAAGAGAAAAGAAGAGAAAGCGAGUACAAAUAUACAACUCUCAAGUGUAAGGAGUAGGAGAGAAGAUCAGUCAAACCCUGAAAAAGCCAGUCCACCUCUACAUUACUUUACUUUACUUUACUUUACAACUUCAAUGGUUAGAUUAAAAGUCUCCUACCUUAAGUAUACAGUCUUUUUUUAAUUUUUUUUCAGUGAAGGCCUAAUCCAUGCUUAAUAAAAACUAUGAGCUCACCUACAGAAUCCCCUGCACUGCCCCUAGUGCAUCACCAGCCAUCAGAACCCCCCAAUGUACUCACAAGGGUGGUAGAUGUUCUUAAACAUCACAAGCCACUUUCUCUGUUUCAAGCUGACCUUGGAAUGGCCGUUAGACGUGGCUUUGAACUACUGGAACUAUCUCUCAUAGACCAGUGUCAAGGGUCCCCCUGAGUUGAUAAUGACUUGCUUUCAUAACUGCUGUGACAUUUUGUGAAGGUAUGCUAGGCGUGCUCACAGGCCAUAUCUCCAGAAUGCAAUGCUUCCUUUCCCCCUCAGCAGGUGCGAAUCUGAGCUGCAUAGUCUGCGAUUUACAGUGCUGUGUUUACGCAUCCCGGAAUAAGUAUAGGCCCAGGCCCACGCAUAUGUCCAGCCUUGAUAAGCAUUUCAGCUCACUACAGUGUUGACACAAACUCAGAAUUACCACAAAAGAUUAGUGAUUGGACAGUGGUGACAUUUGCAUUAAAAUCACUGCCAGUUCCUUAAUGAAGCUAACUACCAUAUGCCAUUAUUGUUAUCUCCCUUGGAUCAGUUGCUUCUGUUUAUAUUAUUAUUAUUAUUAUUAUUUUGAAAUCAUAAAAGUGCCUGGUAAAUUAAUAAAUGUAUUGCAACGAAUAAUGGAAAUUAAAUUGAAAAAAAAUAAAUAAUAAUAAUAAUAAAAAGCUAUAAAAUCCACUAGAACUAUGUACUUUGACAGGAUUUAAAGAGUCUAAUAAAACAGAUUUUUAGAAGUCUUUUCAGACCAAUUCUGCUCCUGGUGGUUCAAAUACCAUCGCUCCAUCUCAGAGAAAGCUCACAGCACUGUCAGGUCAUCGUAUAUGUCUUAUUGUUAAAAUCUGAAUCUUGUUGGCUGCUGAAUGUCCAGUUCCUGUGGAUGGAAAAAGAGAUAAAUGAACUCACUCGCUGUACCCUUACAUAAAUGAGGGUUGAUGAAACUGAUGAUAGGCUCAGGCUGCUGAAGAAGUGAUCCCAGUGGAGACCUUACAGUGGUCUGUCCCACUCACAAGACAAAUUAUAUAAUUAGGCGCUUGUCUUAGGGGAUGGCCACCUUUGCCCCUUUCUUGACAUCUCCAAUGGUAAAUGACAGCAUAUCUUGCUAAAAUAACUGAGCAAAUUCAUCUUGGUGACACACGCAGAAUUCUCUUUACAGUUGUAUUAAUUGUCUGGUUUUGAGAAAUCCCAUGGAAAUGACAAUAUGGGCUCAAGGGAAACAUUGCAUUUGAUUAUAAAGAUGAUCAUGAUUCUUAACGCUGAGAGAUCUGCAUGAAUCAAAAGCAAAUCAUUUAAACAGUACAGCAAUUUGCAUUAGUAAUAUUCAAAGAAUCUAUGAAUAAAAUGUGUAUACUAUGCUUGAA